rnacentral:lncRNA from 1 species
GGGGAGUGCUCCCUGUCAGACACAGGAUAGGGGUCGUCAGACCCAGCCCCUUCCUCCCUCCAACUCAGGAGCCCAGGCUCCCAGCCAGAUUCCUCAAAGACCCUGAGGAGUCCACCCGUAGACUCCUUCUCUCUCUAACUAAGGAGCCCUGUGUACCUGGGGUGGAGACCGCUACCUUCCCCCAUCCCCCGGGGGUUGGGUCGGUCUGAUGAUGGGGUCACUGUAUACCUGGCCUUUCCCCCACAGCUCGGAAUACCUGGCCAUCACCUCCGAAAGCAAAGAGAACUGCACGGGCGUCCAGGUGGCCGAAUAGCCCUGGCCCUGGGCCCCGCCUCAAGGAAGAGCCAGCCCUAAUGGGGACUCUCCAGGCACCGCCUGCCCCCAGUGUUGGGGUGGCCACUCCUGGGCCCCAGAAAGCCUCAGAGUCCUGCCGACGGAGCCACUGGGGUGGGAGGGGGCAGGGGGCUUGGCUCGCACCCCCACUUUCGCCUCCUCCAGCUCCUGCCCCGCCGGCCGCGCACCGCCAUGCAUGAUGGGUAAAGCAAUACUGCCGCUGCCCCCACCCUGCUUCUGCUGCCUGUUUGGGGAGGGGGGCGGUGAGGUGGGGGCAGCGGCCCCGCACCCCUCCUCCUUGCUGAUUUGCACACAUUGGCCGCUUCAGACACGCACUUCUGGGGCCAGCCCCUCCCCGCCUCCUCCCUGCCUGGCGGCAGGGGUCGCGAUGAUGGGCUGGAGCAGUUUAGGGCAGGGGGUUCUGGGACCCACUCCGACUCCCCCUCCCCGGCAUCAUUUCCCCUCCCGCUUCCUCCGGCUGGACCUGGGGUCCCCCCUCCCUGUAAUGCACUCCUGCCCCGGCCCGACCUCGCCCUCUCUCACCAGCCUUGAACUGUGGCCACCUAGAAAGGGGCCCAUUCAGCCUCGUCUCUUUACAGAAGUAGUUUUGUUCAUGAAAUAAAGACUCUUGGACUUGAUGCAUAGUUUCGAUUGUGAGCCCCGUCACCUUCCCCCCAUUCCCGUC